UGGCUCUCGCAUCGAUGAAGAACGCAGCGAAAUGCGAUACGUAAUGUGAAUUGCAGAAUUCAGUGAAUCAUCGAAUCUUUGAACGCAUAUUGCGCUCUCUGGUAUUCCGGAGAGCAUGCUUGUUUGAGUAUCAGUAAACACCUCAACUCCCCUUUCUUUUUUGAAAUGGGAGCUGGACUUGAGUGAUCCCAACGCUUUUCUCACCGAAAAGUGGCGGGUUACUUGAAAUGCAGGUGCAGCUGGACUUUUCUCUGAGCUAAAAGCAUAUCUAUUUAGUCUGCCUAAAAACAGAUUAUUACCUUUGCUGCAGCUAACAUAAAGGAGAUUAGUUCUUGUGCUGACUGAUGCAGGAUUCACAGAGACAGCUUCGGCUGGCCUUUGUAAACUCGAUCUCAAAUCAAGUAAGACUACCCGCUGA
rnacentral:misc_RNA from 1 species